rnacentral:rRNA from 1 species
AUGUUUCUUUGGCUGGUGACUAGGAGGAGUAUAUUAACAAAAGAUAACUUGCUGAAAAAGGGCUGGAAAGGGGGAAAAGAAUGUGUAUAUUGCGGGAAGACAGAAACUAUUGAUCAUUUAUUUUUUGAUUGCUCUGCGGCUAGAUUGGUCUGGAGUUUAAUCAAAUGUGCAUUUGAUCUUAGGCGAAGUCCCACUAGCCUUGAUGAUUUCCUGGGGGGUGGCUGA